UCCCCCAGAGGGACACAGCAGUCUUCCAUCACCCCCUUCCUCCCAGCAGGGCUCCCCCAGGGCCAUGCUGGCACAGAGCGUAUAAAGAUCUUGCUGUGCUCUUGAUCCCCUUUCUGAGUCCCUGGACAGUGGUCAUCAUCCCAGUCCAGGCCCAGCUGAGAUAUUUAAGGUCCAGGGAGGGUGGUACAAAGGGAGGGGGCGUGGGAGAGGUUAGGUGUGGGAGUGGAGUGUGUUUGGAGCUGAGAGCUGGGUUCCAGAGUAUAACUUGCUUUGGCCAGAAUUUCAGUCUUUCAUCCCUGUGACUCAGCUCCAGGAAAAGAAGGAAGGUUUGCUCACAUUUCUUGAGGAACAAAGUCACCUUUCUUUCCAGUUACGGGCAGUCUCCCCUAAAAAGGAAGGUGUUGGGUCUGGGUAGUGGAGCAGCCCUGGGCUUCUUUAUACCCAGUUUGUCCUUCUGGUCACAUGAUGCUCCCAGGGCUGUCCCCACGUGAGCAGGUGAAUGAGCCCCUCCCUCCUUCAGGGAGACCUAAAGUUCCAGAGGGGUUGAGAUGGCUGUCCCCAUCUCAAAGGUGAAGGGACAGAAGCUCAAAGGCGAAGGUUUCUCAUGUGGCCAAGGGUAGAUCUGGCCUUCCAUCCUGGUUUGUCUGACCCAAAACACCACACUCUGCAUCCCACUAUCCAGGUCUGGCUUGUGGGCACAAGUACCAGCCUGCUCCCUCAUCUUGCUCCUGCUCAGAGCUCAGAGCUAUCCCCAGGGGCCUUAAUGCAUCAUAAACCCAGAGCUGUGGGGAGUAAAUACCAGGUCAGGAGGGCACAUCUCAGGAGAGCGAGCAGCCAUCUGGGUUACCUGAGACUGAGGGAGUUCCUGGGAUGUAAGACUGACCCUUAAGUGCAAAAGUUGAGAAAGUCCAAGGGCAAGUUGAUUACAUCCCAUCUUGAUCUUUCUUAUUCCCUUCCUGGAAGGAAGGAAGGAAGGAAGGAAGGAAGGAAGGAAGGAAGGAAGGAAGGAAGGAAGGAAGGAAGGAAGGAAAAAGAAAAAAGGAAGGAAGGAAGGACAGAAGGAAGGGAUGGAGGAAGGAAAGGAAAGGAGAGAACAGAAGAAAAGAGAAGAGAAAAGAAACUCCCAAAGGACCCUUCAGCCAGCCCUGUGGGUGCAGCAUGGGCCCAGUAGGAGCCGGGGACUCUGCCCAUGCCAUGAGGCCCCUCCUGCCAGUGGGGAUGGGCUUGGCAAUUCCACGGCCAUCCUGGGCUGGGUGCCUUCCUCCCAGGGCCCCCGCUUUGGGUCUCUACCUGGGAGGAGAGGCCCAAGGAGCUGCCCUAACUGGUCUGGCCCCAUACCUGUAUGGAGCCAUGCCUCCCGACAGUCAAGGGAACAGACACUGCAGUGCAGUGGGGCAUCUUGCCCCCCACCCCCACCCCCACGCUGGACCUCUCAUCCCACUCUGACUAGUGUCAUCCACUCCCAGUGGACCACCCUGCCCCUUGCCACGUCUGUUCUGAGACAGCUGUCCUUUGGGCAUCCAGCUUUGUGUCUCCCCAACACAAAGUGAAUCUCCCCACCUUCUCUGAUUCUGACCUACUCCCUCUCAGUAGCUUUGAUCCCAGCUACCUCCUCCUUCUUUUAAUAGUAAUAGUAAUAAUAAUUAUUAUAUGAUAAGUCCCAUGAAAAGUUCUUGCUACACUGAGUCAUGGUUAUAAUAUUAGCUAACCAAGAACACUGUCACGUGCCAAACUGUUUUAAACCAUUUACAUAGAUUAUUUUUUUUUAAUUAGAGUAUAGUGGAUUUACAGUGUAGUGUCAAUUUCUUCUGUACAGCCCAGUGGUGCAGUCAUAUGUUUGUAUGUGUGUGUAUAUAUAAACUAAAUGUAAUAGUUUGUGUCUACCAACCCCAAAUUCCCUGUCCAUCCCACUUGCCCCCACUCUCACCCCUACAACACAAGUCUGCUCUCCAUGUCUAUAAUCUGUUUCUGUUUUGCAGGUAGGAUCAUAUUUUAGAUAGAUAGUAUUUCAGAUAGGUAGGUGCCAUAUUUUAGAUUCCACAUAUAAGUGGUAACUUACGGUACUUGUCUUUCUCUUUCUGACUUACUUCACUUGGUAUGAGAAUCUCUGUUUCCAUCCAUGUUGCUGUAAAUAGCAUUUCAUUCUUUUUUAUGGCUGAGUAGUAUUCCAUUGUGUAUAUGUACCACAUCUUCUCAAUCCAUUCAUCUGUUGAUGGACAUUUAGGUUGUUUCCAUGUCUUUUCUAUUGUGACUAGUACUGCAAUGAACAUAGGGGUGCAUGUAUGUUUUUGAAUGAAAGUUUUGUCCAGAUAUAUGCCCAGGAGUGGGAUUGCUAGAUCAUAUGGCAUGGGACCUAAUUAAAUUCAGAAGCUUUUGCACAGCAAAGGAAACCAUUAAAUAAAUGAAAAGAGGAGAGUUCCCAUAGUGGCACAGUGGCAACGAAUCCAACUGGUAACCAUGACAUUGUGGGUUCGUUAAGGAUCUGGCAUUGCCAUGAGCUGUGGUGUAGGUUGCAGAUGUGGCUUGGAUCCAGAUCCCACGUUGCUGUGGCUGUGGCUGCGGCUGUGGUGUAGGCUGGUAGCUGUAGCUCCAAUUCAACCCCUAGCCUGGGAACCUCCAUAUGCCACAGAUG
rnacentral:lncRNA from 1 species